rnacentral:rRNA from 1 species
GAUGAACGCUAGCGGCAGGCUUAAUACAUGCAAGUCGUGGGCAGCACAGUCCGCCGAAAGGCGGAUGGGUGGCGACCGGCAAACGGGUGCGGAACACGUACGCAACCUUCCUACAGGCGGGGAAGUAGCCCAGAGAAAUUUGGAUUAAUACCCCAUAAAUUUUAAGUAUGGCAUCAUCUUAUUAUUAAAGCUUCGGCACCUGAAGAUGGGCGUGCGGCUGAUUAGGAGUUUGGCGGGGUAACGGCCCACCAAGCCUGCGAUCAGUAGCUGAUGUGAGAGCAUGAUCAGCCAC